AACGAACGCUGGCGGCAGGCUUAACACAUGCAAGUCGAACGCACCUUUCGGGGUGAGUGGCAGACGGGUGAGUAACGCGUGGGAAUCUACCCUUCUCUACGGGAUAGCUCCGGGAAACUGGAAUUAAUACCGUAUACGUCCUGAGGGAGAAAGAUUUAUCGGGGAAGGAUGAGCCCGCGUUGGAUUAGCUAGUUGGUGGGGUAAAGGCCUACCAAGGCGACGAUCCAUAGCUGGUCUAAGAGGAUGAUCAGCCACAUUGGGACUGAGACACGGCCCAAACUCCUACGGGAGGGAGCAGUGGGGAAUAUUGGACAAUGGGCGCAAGGCUGAUCCAGCCAUGCCGCGUGAGUGAUGAAGGCCCUAGGGUUGUAAAGCUCUUUCAGUGGGGACGAUAAUGACGGUACCCACAGAAGAAGCCCCGGCUAACUUCGUG
rnacentral:rRNA from 1 species